rnacentral:rRNA from 1 species
GUGGGGAAUAUUGGACAAUGGGCGAAAGCCUGAUCCAGCCAUGCCGCGUGAGUGAUGAAGGCCUUAGGGUUGUAAAGCUCUUUCAGUAGGGAAGAUAAUGACGGUACCUACAGAAGAAGCCCCGGCUAACUUCGUGCCAGCAGCCGCGGUAAUACGAAGGGGGCUAGCGUUGUUCGGAUUUACUGGGCGUAAAGCGCACGUAGGCGGAUUGGUCAGUUAGAGGUGAAAUCCUGGAGCUCAACUCCAGAACUGCCUUCGAUACUGGCGAUCUUGAGUCCGGAAGAGGUGAGUGGAACUCCUAGUGUAGAGGUGGAAUUCGUAGAUAUUAGGAAGAACACCAGUGGCGAAGGCGGCUCACUGGUCCGGUACUGACGCUGAGGUGCGAAAGCGUGGGGAGCAAACAGGAUUAGAAACCCUAGUAGUCC